rnacentral:rRNA from 1 species
UACGUAGGCAGCGAGCGUUGUUCGGAGUUACUGGGCGUAAAGCGUGCGUAGGCGGUGGUCCAAGUCUGGUGUGAAAUCUCCCGGCUCAACUGGGAGGGUGCGCCGGAAACUGGGCCGCUGGAGUACGGGAGAGGCAAGCGGAAUUCCAGGUGUAGCGGUGAAAUGCGUAGAUAUCAAGAGGAACACCUGAGGUGAAGACGGGUUGCUGGGCUGACACUGACGCUGAGGCGCGAAAGCCAGGGGAGCAAACGGG